rnacentral:lncRNA from 1 species
CUGAGGACAUCACACCUAGGCUAGAAAUUGGAUGUUGAGUUUUAAUCUGGCUUCCUUACUUACUAGGUAGCCUAGGAUAAGUCAAGUGCCCCUCUGUGCUUCAGAUUCCUGAUUUCCAAAAGAAGGGGUUUGAGCCACUUGGUAUUUUCUCCAUCAUACAGAAAAAAAAAAUUAUUUUUUUAGUUUCCUCUUCUCUUUUACUGCCCACCUCUGUUUCUUGUGAUGCUUCUGACACCUCCUCACCUGCACAUUCCUGGCACCUGGCUCUGUGUCACAGAUUAUAUAUGCACAAUCCCCAUGUAGGUAUCCCGCACAAGAUGUCUGCAGAAUGAAACUUACACUGUUUUAUCCCUGACCAAAAGUGAGGACCUUGUGCUUCGAUGGAGCCAGGAGUUCAGCACCUUGACUCUAGGCCAAGUUGGAUGAGCUGGAAUCCAUUCUGGCCCCACUCCAGCCUGACAGGUCCACUUUCUUUAUCUGUCAGUUUGCUUUCAGGCUGCCUCUCAUGGGUCUCUUACCUAGUCCCUAGUAACACUCUCCUUGGGUUGGGGUAGCAGUCCCAGAGAGGUCCACAAUGGGAGUUCCAUCUGCCUUAGGAGAAUGUCUUUAUAUAAAGUGUUUAUUUUCAGCCUGUGUGCCCUUUUUUGGUUUGAUCUUCAUCCUCAGCACUGCCACCUUGCCCUUGGGAAUCAACCUCUAACCUCCCAAUUUUAUGGAUCCAGCUGCAGAUGAGAGAACCUCAUGGGAAUGGUACUCAGGGAAGCAGCCAUCUGUCAGAGAAGCAGAAGACCUAAGCAGUCAGGGAAUUGGAUUGAAGAAGGCUAUGGCCAGGGUCUUAGGGAUUAUGUGUACUAUGAGGGCAUGUGUCUCUUCAUUUCUGAAGCUCUGGGUCCUGUGAUCUUAGAAGUGAGUGUAGGAUUGUCCCUCUAAAGGAUAAGGGUCAGAGCCUGAGAUCAUGUCCACGGGGAUCAGCUCUGGACAAGUAGGGCAUAGCUUACACUUUUUCAAGAGAGGAGAAACACAUAUUGAGUUUCUUCCUCUACUAUAGGCUCACAGUAGUCAACAGUAUUUUUUUUUUCUUGCAGUGCUGGGGAUUGAACCCAGGGCCUUGCACAUGCUCCGCAAGUGUUCUACCACUGAGCUCAUCCCCAGCCCAUUAACAGAAUUUCUAAAAAACUUAUUAUGGAAAAUUUCAAAAAUGCACAAAAAUAGUAUAAUGUGCUGGGUAUGAUGGCACAUGCCUGUAAUUCCUACUGGGGAGGCUGAGGCAGGAGGCCAGCCUGGGCAACUUAACAAGAAGCUGUCAGAAAGAAAGGAAGGGAGGGAGGGAGAGAAAAGAGCUGGGGAUGUGGAUCAGUGGAGAGCACUGCUGGGUUCAUUUCCCAGUUCCAAGAAAAACAAAACAAAAAAACAGUAUUAUGAACCUUCGUGUACCCUUCACCCCGCCCUAUAUGACCUAUCAUUCAACAGAAUAGAAUGUUAAAGGUCCUGCAAAGCUUCAUAAUAAAGAAAUUUUAAC